rnacentral:rRNA from 1 species
CGACCACAACGGGUGGAGCCUGCGGUUUAAUUGGACUCAACGCCGGGCAGCUCACCGGAUAAGACAGCUGGAUGAUAGCCGGGCUGAAGACUCUGCUUGACUAGCUGAGAGGAGGUGCAUGGCCGUCGUCAGUUCGUACUGUGAAGCAUCCUGUUAAGUCAGGCAACGAGCGAGACCCACGCCAACAGUUGCCAGCAUGUCCUCCGGGAUGAUGGGGACACUGUUGGGACCGCUCUGCUAAAGAGGAGGAGGGAAUGGGCAACGGUAGGUCAGCAUGCCCCGAAUUAUCCGGGCUACACGCGGGCUACAAUGGUCAGGACAAUGGGUAUCGACACCGAGAGGUGGAGGCAAUCUCCUAAACCUGUCCUUAGUUCGGAUUGUGGGCUGCAACUCGCCCACAUGAAGCUGGAAUCCGUAGUAAUCGCGUUUCAAAAUAGCGCGGUGAAUAUGUCCCUGCUCCUU